AAAGUCUGGCUGCUCUAAAGGGACACUUCAGUUUCUUCAGGACCUUUGAAGAGCAACUUUUUGGUCAUUCCUCUGGCAGAAUCCAACAAGAUGAAACUCACGUUCAUCCUGCUGGCCAUGCUGGCCUUCACACUCAUCACUCUGGAAUCAACCACAGAGGCGCUUGACCGUGUAAGAGGCCUCAGAGAGCCAAGACAACUAAACAAAAAAAAGCCACUGUCAGUGAUUGAGCUAUACAGCGGUGUGAACUAUCCUAAUAAAAUACCAAUACAGGGGAUCAAAGUCUGACACUUUAUAGAGACCUGUGUUGUCUCCUCCACCACAAAGAAGAACCUGCCUUCUAUCUGUGUUCUUGUAUCUCAGCUUCAGCCCAGGCUUCACUGAGACACUUUUCUACGUCUUUUACUCUCUCUCCUGCUCUUCAUGUAACGAUGUUACUGAUGUUAGUGGGAGUUCUUCUUUCAUGAAAAAUAAAACACUAUCGAGCAU
ensembl:lncRNA uncharacterized LOC114433566